AGGCUGGGGACUUCCAACAUUCCAUCACUGAUACAGAGGGUAUACAUGGGGCUCCACCCUUCCUGAAGAGCUGUUGGUUUAAUGGUGGCUAUAAGAGGAGCUGUCAUUUUCCUGGUGUCAUAGCCAUGGGUGGCAGCUAGUGGGGUAAAAGAGACCAAAGAGAAAAGAAUGGCAGAUGGAAAGAGUCACUUUUAACUGGGAAAGCUUCCAAGUACCCCUAGUUCAGACCACGGCUGACUCCUGCUGGCAAAACAAUUCGCCAUUUUAACACAUUUAUGGACCAAUAAUGUUAUAAUAAGGUGUUACAUUAAAUAAUGUUCAUCCGAAUUUAGAUCUGAAAUCAGAUAUGUUGAAAUGUUAAGCUGCCUACCUGUAAUUAUAUCAUAUACUAUGUUUAAAAUGUGCGCGGAUGAAGCAGAAUCAGGUUUAGGAUCAGGAAAGUUAAUGGAGCAAAUUUAGCUGAAGGCUAAAAAGCAGUGAAUGGAGAAAUAAACGAAUAAAUCACAUUCUUGAUACUAAAAAUAGACCUCAAGAUGGUUUCUUUUUUUUUUUUUAUUAGCUUGAGUAUUUCUUAUAUACAUUUCAAGUGUUAUUCCCUUUCCCGGUUUCCGGGCAAACAUCCCCCUCCCCCUCCCCUUCUUUAUGGGUGUUCUCCUCCCCAUCCUCCCCCCCUUGCCGCCCUCCCCCCAAUGAAGAUGGUUUCUACCAAGAACAUCAGUGGUAAAAUUAGUAAACAAAGUUAUGCCCAGUUGGUUUGGCUUUUUCCGUGCUUAUAAAUUGGAAACUGGUGCUGAAGAGAUCGCUUAGCAUUUAAGACAUGUGGCUCUACCAGAGGGCCUGAUCUCUGACUCUAAUACUCAUAGCAAGUGGGUCACAUCCCUCUGUAACCCAAGCCCAGGGAUCUGUCACUCUCUUCUGGCCCCUGUGGGCACCAGCACUCAUAUGUAUAUACUCCUCCUAUCUUACGAUAACAGAAAUAAUUAAAAAUAAAAUAAAAUUUAAAAAAAUUACAGAUUUCUAACUUGAACAUAACUAUAGCAACAAUAUCUAUCAUUUCUGCCUAUAUAAUCUGAGGGGGCAGUUGUAUAUGAGAAAGAAUACAUUUCAGUGGACAUUUCUAAGGUCAAACAAGUUCCUCCUUCUCCACAGAGGCCCCAGUGUAAAAUUAGCCCCAGUGACCGUGAAGCAAAAGAAGCAUCUCUUUCUAUGCUCUCUUAUUGGGUAGAUAAACGUAUAGGCGAGUUUUAAGAAAAAAGAAAAAAACCCGAACAGCUUCAAAGACAAAAUUGUGUCAUCUUAGACUCUAUCUUGGCUUGAAUUUUGCAUAUGAUUUUAAAUAUCUCCCCACUCCCAUCUAAAUGUUCCUGGGUGUUUUUUACACUUUAUGCAUUGGUGUUUGCCAUCUUAAAUACUAAGACUAUGUAUAUGUAUAUGAUGUAUAUAUUAAAGUAUAUAUAUGUACAUAUAUACAUUCAUUCUAUAAAAUAUUUUGCUCCAAACAGAAAAAUGGCCAUUUCUAAAGCUAAUCAUUCCUAAGGACCUCACAAAUGAACCCCCAGUUUUUUUGCUAUAUAAAUAUAUAGAUGACAGAUAAAUUUACAGAUAAAUUGACAGGUGAGAUAUAUAUACAUAUAUGGAUAAAUAGAUGAUAGGUAGAUAGCAGAUAGAUGAUAGACAGAUAGAUAGAUAGAUAGAUAGAUAGAUAGAUAGAUAGAUAGAUAGAUAGAUAGAUAGAUAAGAUAGACAGAUAGAUAAAUAGAUAGAUCAAAUAGAUAAUGAUAGAUUCGGCAACCUAAGCAAAGACACACCUGACAGUCAUUUAACAAACGUUUUGAGUAAAUAUUUAAUAUUGUCCUUCCUCUCACAGACUGUAAAUAUCCCACUAGUCCAUCAGCCCUGUCAAUCCUGCCCUCUAUAGAACUCUUCACGUUUCUGUGAAUUUCUAGUACAUUGUUUAAUUGAGUAUUUCUCUUUUUAAAAUGUGAGAUUCUAAAAAGGUACCCAGUCUUAUUCAAUACCAUUUUCAUUAUUUUAAACAUAAUUAAUAUCUGUCAUUGAGAAGGCAUAUUAAAUGUUACAAAGCUGUGACCAUGCUCUACCUGCUUCCCACAUUGUUUACACAGUAUAAUUUAUGGAAAAAGAAGACAAAGUGGUCUCAGUGGCUCACUUCUCUCCUAUUCACCCUAGACCUUGCCUUUUUUCAGCUGUGCCCAAGGCAAAGCCUCACCACAGCAAACUGAAGUCUUUAUUUCUGUUCUGUAAACAAGGCUUUUUCAGGUAAUUCAUAGUUUUUUUUUCCCCUGCACUUUACUGAUUCUCCCUAAAUGCUGAUUUAGUAAAACCGUAAUCCUUUUAAGUAACCAGUAUCUAACUGCCAGACUUCCUGUGGACGUUAAUUUGGCAGUUUUACUGCCUGGGGAUAAAGGAGAGAGCCUUCCUUCCCCAGCCGCCCCUGCAAUCACUGGAUGGCAACAGAGUGGAGGUGAACACCUUUGGAAGUGCCUGCUCUCCCUCUCCCUUCCCAUUGUCUGGAAAGCAGCUAUCCUGGUGGUGAGGCAUCAGGGAUAAAGGUACUACCUUGGAGAUGGCACAGCAACAGGACAAAAGGAGCCUGGGGCCCUGUCAGGGCAACUGCUCAAAUCCAAAUCAGUACCUGAGGAAGAUGUGUCCGCCUUAUUCCACUCCCUAACUGAUUAGCAGGCAGAUCAUUUUCCCUGGUCAGCCUUCUCGCACUUCCUUCAGUUUUCACCUGAAAGACUAGUAUUCGUAGAAGCAUCCCCAUACUGCCAUGACGCUCGCCCCCUUGUCUAAACAUGGUGCAUGCUGGCAGAAACAAAUCUGGCAUUUGCCUUAGACUUCCAGAUCUAUCAGGGAGUGAUUACACCGGCUUCCCUCUUUGGCAGGUAUUGCAUACCUGGUGUAUUCCUCUGAAAAAACACUUUGGCUUGGGAGGAAAUCUACACCAUCCCUUGAUAGCUCAGGAAUUGGCCUUAUUGGGAAAUAUUAGAUAAGCUAAUAUAUUUAACAAUCUUCCCAUCACUGACCAAAGACGUUCUGGAGAGUUCUGGGGUAGGCAUAGCAGCUGUCAGUCUUGAGGAGGUAGACAGAUGAUCUCAGACUCCCUAGGGUCUCUCUCUUACAGGGAAUGAGGAAAAGAGCUUUGAUUGUCCAUUUCCAGGUUACGUCAAGGAGUGGCUGCUGUGUAUACCAACUGCUAGACAGGGCCAAGAACCGAGCCACUUUAGUCUACAUGGAGAAAGCUACUGAUCUCGCAGAAAAUGGACUAAGGUGUAAGGAACCUCUACAGAGGGAGGGAACCCAGGCCCAUUCAACUGCUACGUGGCUUAGUCCAGUCAACCUCAAGACAACAGAGACAUCUAAAGACUAACUGAUACUCUGAACAGUUGAUCAGACAAUCAGCACUUUUAAUUAACAACUUUUGAAUAUAUUCAUUAAAUUAGAGCAGAAUCACCGAGCACCUAAGGAUCACAAAGAAAACACACAGCUAAACUCAGUCUGAUGAGUUCUAAUGGCAAUAAGAGUUUCUCACAUAAGCUUCCUGGUGAGAUAGGGGUUAAGUACCCAAAUUAAGGGUAUCAAAGAGAAUUUAAAAUCAAGUUUUGACAUGUGAUGAUCAAGACAGAAUAGGCAAUGAGCCGUAAUUCAUCUCCUAAAUAAGAGGAAGGAUCUAAACCAAUAAAGAUGGGGAUAUUCUAAGAUUGUUAGAGCGCUGAUCUCUUUCAUCUUCAUAUAUUUAUUAUGGUCAUCUGCUUCUGGGAAGAUAGCAUUGAUUUUAAAAAAUGUCUUAAGUUAAAAUAAAAAUACAGUCCAAUAGAGAAGCUAAGAAAAAUUAGAGUUUAUGGAACUCCUCAGAAUUCUAAUUUAUCAGAUUUCUAAGUUAAGGACAUUGGAGGAAUGACUCCCAUUCUUCACACCCAAUCAUUGAACAAGUCUACCCCUAAUAGCUGAAUGUAAUGAGGAAGAAUAAGAAAACAGAAUGAUAAAAGAUUAGGAAAACUAAGGCAAACAGUUGUAGAAGUUUGGUCUUGUUCUUCCUCCCAGUCCUACGUUCCCAGAAAUAAGACUCAGACUCAAAAUAUGUUUAUAAAUACCUUGUCCAUAUAGCUAGGCCCUUCUCUGACUAAGUCAUGACGUAAUAUAACCCAUUUAUUCUGUUCUACAUUCUGCCACAUGGUUGCUUACCUGUGUUCCGUUACUAAGUGUGGUCUUGCCAAAUCUUCCCGGGCCAAUCUCCCAUGCCUCAUUCUAUCCCAGAAUUCCUUCUGCCUCCCGGAUGUCCCACCUUCUAUUAUACCCUUUCCUAUAGGCCAUAGGUUUUUUCAUUGACAUCUAUACACAAGGUAUUCUCUCAACAUAGAGUGAGAGAGGCAGAGAACCUAAAGGGAUGUGUGUGAGUGCCAACACUCACAGGAGACGGAUGUAGAAGCAGCCAGCAUAAUAAGAAACCCUUUCUAUCUCAAAACCCUCCAGGCAGGAAAGGUAGAGGGGUGUUCAGGAGUAUUCUUUCAGGGGAACAGAGUCCAGAAUGGGAGUUAUUCAGACUAUCCGCUUCAUUGUGUUUCAGGGAUAACCUGAUUCCAAACCAGAGACUCCUUUAGGCCUCUUUUUCCCACUGUUGUGAGCACAUCAAGAGUGGAGUUUGGUCUUCUCCUUAGUAUUCAUGACUGGGUACUGGGCAGAUGCUUCAUAUGUGAGCACUGAAUUAAAAAUUCUUAUAGAUAUACUGUGGUGUUUUCAUUAACCCUAAUGAGAAACAUUCCAUGGUUUGUUGAGCCAAAAUAAGUAGAUUUACAUUUUGUAUCUAUUCAUCUCCUGCACACACUUGACGAAUUGGCUUUUAAGUUUCACACAUGAUGUGAAAGAGCAGACAGUAUGAGCCACAGGCUUAGUGUAACAUUAUGAUCCAGUGAUGGGCGCUGAGAUCUAAAAUGGCUCCUAGAGCCGCUGCUUGUGCUUUCAAACUAUGACAAAGGGCAAAGCCACAUUGAGUCAUUAUCAUUAGGGAAACAUGUCACAAACCCAGCAGACCCUGAAACAGACAAGGGGAGGGAAUGCUGCACAGCCAUCUUUACCCGUAGACCGUCAAUUUAAACGCCAGCAAAUCGCUAAUGCAAAUGAAAACAGAAAAUGCUCAUCCAUACCAUAAACCAUAACAAAGUCCAGCGUAACACUGGGCUACGGGUACAGGCGAGCAUUUAAUCUGCAAUUGAGUCCAAGGACUGGAGAACAGAAUGAAAGGUAUUGGGUAUCAAGCAUUCUCAUUAAAGACCUACCUACAAACUGCCCAAUCUGAGACUUCUGCUAAUUUAGGUUUUGAGGGGACCUAAUGCCUAUGCAUAAUUAAAAUGUUUUCAGUUCAAUGUGUAAAAUGGUAUUUAGUUUCAUAACAAAUUAAAGCAAAUGUAUUGUUAUAGACAUGAAUAGAGUGUGCCCUGAAAUGUCAGUUUUCAAGGACAGCAAUAUAUCUUGUUUAUUUGAAUUGAAAUAAGCACUCUAACGCAGAUAUCUUUAUGCAGUACGGACUGGAUUAUUUUGAAAUCGUCACAUGGGUUACAUACGGGCAUUGUUCCCUUCUACCCAUUUAAAAGCCAUUUCUGUGGAUAUUCAACUACUAGCUGUUAAUUAAGCACUGAGUAGAUUUGUAUUUUGGUGUUUAGUGAAAAUUUAAAGAAGUAUAUAGUGUGUAAAAAUGAUCUAAUCUUCAAAGAAAAGCAUCUUACUGAAAAAAAAAACAACUCAAUUUUAAAAAGUAUAUUGUGAAAGCACCCACUUCAAAUUCAAAUAAAUAUAAUGCCCAUUUCAAAUUUCAGUCACGAAAAUCAACUAAUAUUUACUUAUGAGACAAUGGAAAACAAUAAUACCAGCAGCAGUAGAAAGUUCUUGGUAGCAUAUUCGAGCUGUUGAUAAUUUAACCAUAAACUAGGCUCCUAAUGGUGUUUUUCAUUGAUAUGUUCCUGCUCACCCACUGUGCACCGAGGCCAAAAUGCAACGAUCCAUUCUUCCCCCAGACUCUUUCCCAGUCAUCCCUUCAGUCCGUUUUGUUAGCUGACUCCAUUUCUCCAUGGAAAAUAAUUUCAUGAUAUUUAGCAAGAUAACGAUCAUUAACUGGUCCCUGUUUCCCUCAUCUACCUUAGCACUUGCUAUGAUACACUUCCUAGCCCAUAGCUCAGGGCAGCCAUGUGCUGGGAGUCCAGUACACAGAGCAGGAAUUAAAGUGAUGAGUUAUGCCCAUACAACUUCCAUUUGCAUAUUGCUUAUUCCAAGAGUCUGGAAAAAGCUAACCAGUAUAAAUGGGGUUCUGGGUACAUUAGUUAUUUUUCUGUUACUGUGAGAGAAGACUGUGAUAGAAAGUGUCUCUGAUGGGAAUAGCCCUUGUUCUGACGUAUAGUUCCAAAGAGCUGGUGUCCAUCAUGACAGAGAGACAUUAACAGAUGGGGAAAUUGGCAGGAAAUCAUAGAGAUAGGAGCAGGAAACUGGUUAAUCAAAUUUUCAUCCAUACACAGGAAGCAGAGAGGGAGGACCGGAAGUGAGGUCAGGCUAUAAGCUGCCAAAGCCUGCCUCCAGCGACUUACUUCCUCCUAAAUGUCCCACAGACUCCCCCAUCCAGUGCCAACAUCCAGACAAGUGUUCAAACACUUAAGUUGAUGGGGAACGAACGUGAAUGAAUGUUUCUCAUUUACCGCAGCAGAGAAUCUAGGGUCCACAACUUACUCUGUAGCCUUCCACCGUUGCUAACCUGAUUGGGUCAUUGGUUUGUGACAUGACUAAGAAGUAAUUCCAUCCUGUUGUGUUGAGAUUUUAGAGUUUGUUGAUCUUAGUAGCAAGCAUUAUUUACCACAACCGAGAAGCCCACUUAUCCCUUAGUCAUAGAUCAAAGUUCCCUCUUCCGUGAAGUCUUUUCUAUCCCUUCAGGUGGAAUUAAUCGUUCCUUUCAUGGUGUCCCCAGAGCAAUUAUUAUGUGUAUUUAUUAUUUAUUGCUAUUUAAACCAUUUGUGAUUCCUUCUUUUUCAUCAGUCAUCCUAAGCACCCAGUCCUUCCCACCCCCCAAGAAGGUACCCAGUGAGCGUACACGGAGAGUUUUUAUUUGAUUGACAGUAUUUGAAAAAGUUGUAUCAAUUGCACGGAAAGUUUAUGCAUGAAUUUUAUAUUUUUUAUUUUUAAUGGUUGGUACUGGAUUUAAAAAAAAACACUCAACCUUCACUCGAAUGCAGUACUUACAGAGCAUUUCCUUAGAUAAACAGUUCGCUUUAAAUUCUCUUUGCUGGUGCUUAGUGGUGCACAUUAUCCACCGAAGAACCAGGAGUGGAUCUCCUCUCUGCCUCUUAAUAGCACCUCAGUACUUAAGGGACAGCCUGCUGGCAAAUAGUGAUGAUCCACUGUGUUUUUUUUCAAAAUACUUUUAUUUUUCCAUUGGACAAAAGAAAAUAGACCGACGGAAGUGUGCAUCUGGUAUCCUUUCAAUAAUAAUGUAGCCACAAAUAAUUUUCUUUUAAAUAAGGGUGUCUUAGUUAGUGUUAACUAUCUGUUAACCUGGCAUAGCCUAGAGUCAUCUGGAAAGGGAGUUCUAAUGGCAGAAUUGCUCAGACUGGAAUGUGAGCAUCCUAAAGAGGAUUCUCUUGAUUGUUGAUUGAUGUAGACGCCCCCCCCCACUGUGGGUGGUACUAUUCCCUAAGCAGGGGGACUCUAGGCUGGGCUUUCUGAAGAGACCAGCUACCAGAGCAUGACCCCUAGUGAGCCAGCAAGCAGCUUUCCUGCAUUGUUUGCCGACUUCCAUUCACAAGAUCCUGCCUGCCUUCCUGCCUCAAUUCUCCACAAUGGUAACUAUAACAUUACUGCAGAUGAAACAAACCCUUUCCUACCCAAGGUUACUUUCAGUCAGAGUGGUUUACCACAGCAACAGAUAGCAAUGCAGAACAGGGAAUCUGCACGACAGAUGAGACCAUAAAACUGAAGAGAUACCAACACCCAAAUGUCUACAAUACCAAAGAUUAAAACAAGACUAUGUUCUGCCAUGGAGUUUAUAACCACUAUGUGCCUGCAUCCCUCUGAAGCUGCAUGGGUACACUGAUGGGUUUCCUGGGGCUUAUAACUGGAAGGGAGCACUCUCACACUCAUAAGUGCACACACAGAGUGGGAGUGGACCAAGCCUGUUAAAUGGACAGAUAGGAUAUUGUAUCUGAAGUGUCUAUACAGGACCUGUUAGCAAGGUGAGACAGAUAUUGCUAUACUAUCUGCUCCAGGCUGGAGCUUGCGUCAUUUGAGUGUAAUUUUCAUCUAAAUUAUUAUCUUUUAACACCCUGGCUUCUAAACUUUAUCCCAGAAGAAGUAGAACUAAUUGAUGUGGGAUCCUCUUGACUGCCAAAAAGCGGGCUCAAAAAUACCUCUUCUUUCUAUGGAGAAAUGGGAAGUACAUCAUAGGAGGGAGCAGAGGGGAAGAAGCUCCUACUUCACCAGGAAUUAUCUACAAUCCAGUGUUUUGUGGUGCCCCUUGCCUGGGGCAGCCUGCCUCAUUCUGAUGCCCUUUCAUUCAGUAGGCUAGCGUAUGCAUUUGGUCUGAAGUUAUGAUCAAAACUGACUUUCUGUACAUGAAAAAUGAGCUGACUAUUUUGAAGAGGCAAACAAGUCUAAAUUUUACAAUUUCUAGAAUACCAUUCUAUUUUUUUCAGAUAGAAAACAUUUAUCUUAUUUUCCAAACUAAUGAUUCUACUCAAACAAACAACAAAACCUGAGGGACAAAAGAACAUUAAGUGAAUCAUCUUUCCUAAGACUUUUCCCACCACACAUACAGGCACGCACACACACACACACACACACACACACAUUCACACAUACAUGUACACAUAUACACACAUGCACACACCCACCCAUAUGCAUAUAUAUACAUGCACACACAUGCAUGUACACGUAUACAAAACCACACACAAACAUGAACACACACGUGCAUACACAUAUACACACACAUACACAUACAUAUGCACAUAUACAAAACCACAUAGACACAUACAUACAUACACACACGGAAACACAUAUGCAUACACAUACAUGUAUACACAUAAACAUACACACAUGCAUAUGCACAAGCAUGCACAGAAGAAAAAUCUAAAAUUAUUUUGAAAUAAAAUCUUUUCAAACCUUAUCUCUUGCUGACUGCAUUAAUGACAUGCAGUUUAAGUGCCCUGAUUUCUCAUUCCAGGGCAAACAAAGCAAAGAAUGUGGUGAAAAAUCUUAAUAGCAUGGCCUGUUCUUAGCCCAUCAGCUAUGCAAUAGCUGUAAGAUAUUUCCUGAUAAAGUGCUCCUUAUGUUAUUAAGAAAGAAAAGUUGAGCAGUGGUUUCAUCAACACUAGAAGGAACAGUGGCACUUACCCGAUAUUAAUCUUACAUGCAAUCUUAUUCCCGAGGCCAUGCUAAUCCCCACCAGGGCUACUAAGUUCCCAGCAGUAGCCAUCACCUUUGCUGUAAAUGCUGACUCUCCCUACGCUGGAGAGGCCCAGUGCAACUUGGAAAUGGAUAUAAAUUCAAUCCAGCUGGGCAAACUGCAAUCUGAGAAAUUGGGGUGGGUCAGUGUUGUAGCUCCUGUUCCAGGAACUGUUUCUGGAGAGUGGUACUUCCUUCCAACUGGCCUGGAGAAGACCACAUGCUCAGUGGAUGCAGCCACCAACACCUCCUGUGCCCCUUGGAGGUGUUACAGAAGCUAUCAAGCCCAGACCAUCACUUUAAACUUGAUUACUUCUCCCCUUCCCCUUCCCCAUGUUUUCAAACUGUGGGAAACACCCACGGAACAUGUCUUACGAUCUUAACCAUAUAAAGUUCAUAGCCCAAUGUUGUUACACGGUUUUCCAUUGGUGGGCAGCAGACCUCUAGGACACUGUCAUCUUGCAAAAUUGAAACCACACGCCUAUCAAACACAACCCCUAUUCCCUCUAUCCAGACCCUCAGCAACCACUGGUCCAUAUGCUGUUUGCAAAUCUUGACCACCUUAGGUAGAUUGUGGGUAUUUUAAGUGGAGCAAUGCAGAGCCUAUCUUUUUGUGGGGCCUGUUUUCCUUACCUCCUUAACCUUGGCUUCUAUAGAUCAAAUGAACAGUUAGUACUUCAAUUCUUGCCCCUAUUCAUCUCUAGAAAACUCUGGAAAUGGCACAGUAUUCUGUAAAAACUGAAUGUCAUGGUGAGUUAGCAACCACUGAAUUUCAUGAGGCUUCCUUUUCAACUGUGUAUCACUUUUAUGCUGCGGUUCUUCUCGUCAGUAACACAAGUCUCAGUGACGUCAAUCAUUAACGGUGCUGGUGGUCACGGUGACGUCAGUGGCAGCCAUGUGAUAGCAGUACAGGCUACCUAACCUUCACUGAACUUUCUGAGCCAGACACCAGGUCUUCCUUCACUUAAUCCUGAUUGCAGUUAGUAAGUCUCUGUUGCUAUCAGUGUACUCAGCCACAGACGCAUUCAUAAACUCCUACACUCGAUCCACAUUCACAUCUCCAAGCAACUACCAAGGACAUCAAGGCUAACGAAGGAUGUGACUGAAUCUAUUUAGGUUUGACCCUUUGCCCUCAGAGCCGCUGGUUUGCUAUUUAUGCCAUGAGUCACUUCCACCAUAAACAGACAAAAGAAUAUGAGUCUUCUUGUGGGCCAGGAACUUCCCUAAUUGCUUUUCAUGCAUCUUUGAGUUCUUGCUAAACCCCUAAGCCAAUUCUACAAAAUUAAAAAGACUCGUGCAUAAAAGUAUCUAUGAUUCCCCUAAAUAGAGCAAGAAAAUAAAAACUGCCCAUAUGUAUUAUGAAAGGAAUAAAUCCCUCCCAAAUUAUGAAAAUUUACAAAAAUAUAAUCCAUAUUGCAAAAUAAAUUUAGUUUGAACAUAUAAGGUAAGAAAUAAUCCUAAUAUCUGAGGGGCACUGGGAAAUUUAUUUGGGGUUAAAAUGAGUGUACAGUAUCAGUUCUUCAGAACCCUUCUCCUGUGUGCCAGCAUUAUCAUAGUCCUGAAUUAUCAUCUCUUUUCUUCUGUUCUCUUCCUGUUCAUAUUAGACGUCUUUUCUUGCACCAGAUUAGGUUUCCCCUCCUGUGUCAAAUGCAGCUCAAGGGUAGGUGGGUCACACUGCCUUACACAGUCUGAAUUCUCCACAUACCUGAGUUUGACGGGUGACUUGUCUCAGUGUGUGUAUUACCUGCUCAGGGGGCACCUUCGUUUCCGUCCUGAGUAGGCCAUGCACCUCUGGAUUCACAGAAGACAGAUAGGACGGAACGUAAUGAAAGCACUGAGCUCUGGAGGCCCCAUAACAUUAGCAUUCAGUAUAGAAGGCCAAGGCGGGCCUAUUCGUUUUCUUCAGAAUCAUUACUGUCUACCCCUCAGCUGACAUGGUAAGAUGUCGGCUGGCUGGUGUGUGUGUUUCAUGAGGACAAUCGGUCAUUCCUUCUCCGCAGCCUCUUCCUUCUCUGUUGUCUGCCUUGUUCCCUCCCACCUGACAGCUCUGUGAUGGGCCACACACUGUGCCUUUCCCUCUUCCCAACCACCAUGACAGACAGUGGUUUCUCAAUCAGAUGCUAUUGGCCUACUCGGAGAUCUCCCUGCGUCGUCUUCUCCCUAAGUACAUGUGCCCGUGUACUUUUUCCUACAUCCCUGGUGAUCUUUCCCUGUAGCUAAAACGAAACUCUCAGUGGCUCACCCCCGAGGCUUACGAGUUCUUCAGAACCCUUCCCCAAAGCUCCAGGGUCUACAGUAAUCUUUUAUCUUCUUUGAUCCCUUUCCCACCGGGACAGGCUUCUCUUACUCGAUACCUCAUUCCUUAGUCAAAGGAAUGUCAUGGUUACCUUGGCCUUUUGCCUGGGCCAGCACAGAUCGCAGGUUUCAUAAAUUGAGCUCUUAAUGUGUAUAGAGGCUUCAAGAGAGCAAUCUCGAGGUCCCGGGGUGUGUACGAGCUGCACUUUUAAAGGAGCCCCGUGGCUCCGCAUCCAGUCCUACCUAGAAGGAGGGGCUGCCGGGAUCAAAUUCUGGCUUUCCAGCACUCUAGUUGUAAAAUAGUCAUCUACAUAACUUACUUUUUCAAAAUCUCUCUCUGCUUCUGGUCUUCACUUAUAAAGUGGAGGCACAGUGCCUUCCCAGCAGGGUCGUGAGGACACAUGAAGGCUACAUCUGUGUCUAGCUCCAAACUCGUGACCUUCUACAGGAAGAGCAAACACCGUAAAACGAUGUCUCCAUGUUCUCCUCUGGCUAUUCCCAGGAUGCUGCGAUAGGUUUUCUGUAGUUAGAGACAUUUCUGUUGAUGUGUAAUAGCUAAGGAUGUGUGUUAUUCACAUGCUACACCCUAAUGACCCACAAGGACAUGCUAGGAUGUAGGCAACUGGAAACAGCCUCCUGCUUUGACUGUAUUAUCGCAUUUAUUCCUGUUUGACCAGAGGAGGCUGAGAACAGGGGCCUCAGCUUUCAGAAGAGCUGACUGUGAAGGAUAAAGGGAUGUGGGCAGAAGUCCUCUGACAGUCUUCAUUUCCCUAACACCUACUCUGUGUCUCUCCCUGCCCUCCUCGAACUGUUAAACUCACAAUGUAUGCGGUACAACUAGCAAUCGUGACUAAAUGUCCAAUUAAAUCAAACCCUUAAAAAAAUAGAAGCCACCUUUGGAUGAAUCUGAUUCUCCAAGCGCCAAUAGCACCCUAUUCAUCUAUAUCCUGGGAUACAGAAGAGCAAGGAGAUGAUCUCCCUUCUCCCUCCAGGAACAAUUUAUUUGGAGGAGUCAGACAACGAGAACACACAACCACAAAGCGAUGUGUCAAACGCCUUAACAGGAACACAGACAGCGUGCCAUGGUUACCUUGACUGAUUCUGCCCUGGAGGCUGGAUUUAUUAAAACAUCUCACAAAUUAAUAAAUAAUACUGGUCGAUUC